GAUGAACGCUGGCGGCGUGCCUAAUACAUGCAAGUCGAGCGGAGCGGGGACGGGUGAGUAACACGUGGAUAACCUCCUAUAAGACUGGGAUAACUUCGGGAAACCGGAGCUAAACCGGAUACUUCUAGUUGGAUCCGCGCUGCAUUAGCUAGUUGGUAAGGUAACGGCUUACCAAGGCAACGAUGCAUAGCCGACCUGAGAGGGUGAUCGGCCACACUGGAACUGAGACACGGCCCAGACUCCUACGGGAGGCAGCAGUAGGGAAUCUUGCGCAAUGGGCGAAAGCCUGACGGAGCAAUGCCGCGUGUGUGAAGAAGGCCUUCGGAUCGUAAAAUUCUUUUAGUAGGGAAGCGUUACCUAAACAGAAAGCCCCGGCUAACUCCGUGCCAGCCGCCGCGGUAAUAC
rnacentral:rRNA from 1 species